UUUGUUGUUGAUACAGAUAUUAUUUUUCAAUUUUAGUCUAGAGAGACUUCGGCUUUUAAUAUGAAAAAGGGAGCUCAAUCACUUUGAGGUUAAAGCUGUUCCUACUAAUUUUUGGGGAUUUUCAGGAAGGAAGCAUGGAAUGGUGUUUGUUUUGCUGAAAACAAUUUUGCAGGCUUUGGACAGCUUAUUGCAUUUUGAGGUUCUAAAGCAUCUUUAUGUUAUAGUCCAUCACCCUGAUGUUUAAUUCAACUUUGACAUGUAAUUGCUUGACAACCAGAGAGAGCAUGCUUGUCAGCAUUCAUGUGAGGAACUUGACUGUUUACAGGCGUGCUCUCUGUCGCUAUCAUACAAUCUUCACAUCAAGGAUGGCUUACAUUUUGACCUUGUUCUUUAGUUGUACCUCAUAGCAUACAAACUAGCAGAGAAAAAUGGAGGAAAGGAAAAGGAAAAAAGAAUCUGAUUAUUUAUGAGUGGUUUUUCAUGGUUUGGAACCUGGGAGGAGAUGAAUCAUAUAUCCUUUCAUAGAUUUCACGCUUGGAAGAUGUUGAGUUUGCUCCCAGUGGCAUUUUUGGUGAAUGAAUAUCCUAGGUGCACAUUUUUAAUGAGAGUGAUGGAAAAACUUGCAGUUUAAUAUCUUUGUUGCUUUUAUACCAAUAUUUGGGUUGUGUAUUUGUUUAAAAAUCCACAAAUGUAGAAAAUUUUAUUGAAGCCUCUGGCAUGUUUCAGAUGGUUGUUUUAAUCUUUUGGUAGUGGUUCUUGCUAGAUUUGAGGUUUCAUGGUUCA